rnacentral:rRNA from 1 species
CUUCUGUUAAGUGGGAAGAAAGCAUCAUUCCUAAUACGAAUGGUGGAUGAUGGUACCACUAGAGAAAGCACCGGCUAAUCUCGUGC